rnacentral:rRNA from 1 species
CCUACGGGGGGCUGCAGUGGGGAAUAUUGGACAAUGGGCGAAAGCCUGAUCCAGCCAUGCCGCGUGUGUGAAGAAGGCCUUCGGGUUGUAAAGCACUUUCAGUGGGGAAGAAAGCCUUGGGGCUAAUACCCUCGAGGAAGGACAUCACCCACAGAAGAAGCACCGGCUAACUCCGUGCCAGCAGCCGCGGUAAUACGGAGGGUGCGAGCGUUAAUCGGAAUUACUGGGCGUAAAGCGCGCGUAGGCGGUCUGAUAAGCCGGUUGUGAAAGCCCCGGGCUCAACCUGGGAACGGCAUCCGGAACUGUCAGGCUAGAGUGCAGGAGAGGAAGGUAGAAUUCCCGGUGUAGCGGUGAAAUGCGUAGAGAUCGGGAGGAAUACCAGUGGCGAAGGCGGCCUUCUGGACUGACACUGACGCUGAGGUGCGAAAGCGUGGGUAGCAAACAGGAUAGAUACCCUUGUAGUC